rnacentral:lncRNA from 1 species
UUGUUGUCAAUAUUGUUGGUAGUCAGCAAACUUGAUGUACGUUGGUAGCUCAUUUUCCCCGAAGUUGAAGCCUUUGGGGCAGAGGGUAUAGUUCAUCGAUCAUAGCUUCAUUUCCCAGAGACCUAGCAUUCGGAUCUCUUGGUUUGUUUAUUAAUUCUUCCUUUUGUUACACCCCAUGCCUGACGAGGAAGCAUGUGAGGUGAAGUAAAUGUAAGUUUAAUUUAUUUCUCAUUAGCUUAUGCUUUUGAAGCAACCUGUAUCGUAAAUAAACUUCCUAAUUUCUGUGAACAUCUACUUCAUGAGUAUGCAUUUCUCUAAGUUCCUGUUAUGUUUGGCACUAGAAAAUUUGCCAGGAAAAGUAGAAGAAAGAAAGAGUAAAAAUUUAAAAUUAAUAAAAAAAAUUUAUAUGUUAUUUCAAAUUUAUGUAAAAAAUUAAUUUUAAUAAAAAAAACCAAAAUACACCCUUUUUAGAAUUUUUAUUUUACUUCUAUUUCUAUUAUUUCAUUUUAUCAAAGGGCAGACGCUCUAAAUGAUUAUCUAAAGGACUAAAGCACUCUUUAGUUGAGUAUGGACUCCUUAAAUCUUAGGCUGGGUGUGGGGUCAGAGUAUGGGCUUCGGAAUUUUCUACCCCUUGAGCCAUCUUUAUGCAAUUGAAAGUAGGAUCAGAAUGAUCAUGGGCUCCUCCAUUCACAUUCAACUCAAAAGCCCCAUCAGAAUCAGGUACAACAAAUCAAAUUCAAGUACAAAGCAGUAAUUCUAUUAUAUAGUAUAAUUAAAAAUUCAUUUUCUACUACUUCCAUGAAUGAAAUCUAACUAUUCCUAUGUUUUUUUUCCUAAAAAUUAACUAAUUUUUGACAUAAAUGUCCUUUACUAUUUCAAAUAUUUACAUGUAGGUUUUAAAAGAGAUGACUAUUUUCACAAGAAAAUAAUGACAACAUUUUUGUCCAAAUGAGAUCAAAAAAUGGUGGAAGGUUAAAUUUCAAAAACCCUUUUAAUUAAAUAACCCAAAAGUAUAGGAUAUAAUGAUGAUGUUGAAUUAUGAUUACAAUCUUCAAAAUUUAAACUCCUAACUUAAUAUUAGGUUGAUGAUUAUAAAACUAUGGGCUAAGUAUUUCAUGAAAAUAAAAGAUUGUUUGGUGGUGAUUUAUGAUGGUUUGAAAUAUUUAGUGAUUUAAACUCCUAAAUCAAAGUUCUCAUUUUUUUUACAAGGGUUCAAAUUUCAUUCUAUGCAUAAUAUUUGGGAAUUUUUCCAAUCUUAUGUACAAUUUAUGGGUUUUAAUGCUUAUUUAGGGUUCACCCUAAUCAAGGGAUUGGGUUGGACCGAGUCUUAGCCCAAAAUUUUUUAGCGGGUUGUUAAAUUUUUCUUAAACUUAAUAUAGCGUUUGAAUUUUUUAGAUUGUAUUUGGUUUGGAAAACGUUUUACAAUAUUCAUUUUUGAUUUUUAUUUUUUGAAAAUAAUUUUCAUUUUCUAUUUCUUAUCUUCUUAAAAAUGUGUUUGAUAAAGAAAAGUGGAAAUUAUGUUUUAAAAAUGAAAUUUAUAAAUUUUAAGUAUUUAUUAAAAAUGUGGAAUAAAUAUAAUUAAAUUUGUAUAUGAUUAAAUAUAAAUAGAAAAACAAAAGGAAAAAAAAAAAAAAAAAAAAAAGAGGAAAACUUUUUAUGCUUUGUCCUUCAUUCCAAGACAUGUGUCAUUCUUUCAUUUAGAGUUGUCCAUAGGCUCACCGGGAGGCAAGUCCCCUAAGCUGGGAGCAAGGCUACGGGAGACAUCACUAGACUUAAGAAUGUCUCCUUCCAUACAUACAAUAGCUCUUUAUGAGCUCUACAUGUGGUUCUCUCUCAAUUACAUGUGAAGGUCAGCUAUAUAAAUUAUGCUUAGUAACUUGGUUUUUCUCUCUAGUAUAAGUUGGGUUUUUCUCUCUAGUAAGUUGUGUAUGGGAACUUACAUUGUUUACUUAUUACAUAGUGGUGUAAUUGGAGAAAGAAACGUGAGUAAUGUUAGAUAUUGGCUUUAGCUUAUUACAGUCUAGUAAGUUGGGGUCUUUUUAACUUUGAAUAAUUUUAUGAAUAUGCAUGAUUAUGAUGGUAGUAUAGGCUUUAGCUUCUCUUUAAUUUGUUUAGGUGAUCUCUUGUUCAAUUUUCUUUUACUUCUCGCAUCAUUUGGUAUCAAAGCAUAUUGUACGCUCUUGGCUUUGCUUCUUUUAUGGCAACAGGAUGAGGUAGGGAAGACAUGGUAACCAUAUGAUGGAUGAUUGGAGGGAUGAAAGAGUUGAUGAACUUCAGGCACUUCAAAGACAAAUUGAACAACAUACUAUGCAUCUUGAAUGAUAAGAAGCUCGCAAUAAGCAUGGAGGGUAUAGCUGUGAGUAUUCUGGUCACGAAACCGACCAGAAUCCCUUCGACCAUCAUGAAAAGGUUAGGUUUGGAAGCUACUAUUGAGAUCCCGACGCCAUCAACAUUGUUUUACGUACCUGAGUUCCAUGGUCAUCUUCACCUCUAAAAGAGUUCCUUGAUUAGCUAGAACCGUUGAAAUAUUAUUUAACAACAAGGAUAUCCCUAAGUAUCAAAGAGUGAAGCUACUAGCAACAAGGCUUCAAGAGUAUGCGUUGGCAGAGUAGGAUAAGGUUCAAGAGAUGAGGCUUCAUAAGGGAAAGCCUAAGAUUUCUUCUUGGGAGAAAAUGAAGUCUAGGAUUAGGGAUAAACUUCUUCCAUUAGAUUUUGCUCAAAGUAUUGUUAUCUCAAUUUAAGAACCCUUUUCCAAGAAUCCAAGAGUAUAUUAGAUUAGAUUGAAAAUUUUACGAGCUCAUUACUCGUAAUGACAUUCAAGAAACCGAGGAAAAAGUCAUUGUAAGAUAUGUUGAUGGGCUAAAAAUAUGGAUUCAUGAUAAAAUGGAAGCUUAUCAACCAACCUUGAAAGUGGAGGCUAAACUUUACUUUGAUAGUGAAACAAAGUUUAUGAAUGUUCAUAGUUUCUAUCCUUCUUCCAAAGGAAAGUCUUCAUAAGGUAGCAGCACUAAUAGGUUUCGAAAUAUGAAAAAAAAAAAAAACCCGUGAAGUUAGUCCUUAUAAAUCAUGUAGGAAAUCAACCUAGUCACGCCAACAAUCCAAUUACUUCAAGUGUGGACAAGUGGGGCUUGUUACAAUGAAUGUCCCAAUAGACAAGUGGAUACACAGGUAGCUUUUGUGAUGAGGAUGGUGGUGAAAAGUUUAUUAGUGAUCUAAAUGAGCCAUCUAUGAUAAGGAAGGUGAUGUGGAAUGAGAAGAAAUUGAGCCCAGAGAAGCUAAGAACCUGAUGAUCCAUAGAGCACUUACCACUCAAAAAGUUGAUUUCCAUAAAGAUUGAAUUUGCUCCAAUAUCUUCAAAACUCACUGCAAAUCUGAUGGAAAAGUGUGUACCAUAGUUAUUGAUGGUGGAAGUUACAAAAACAUCAAUAUUUCUAAAUGGUAAAGAAGCUCAGCUGUAGAUUGGAUCUGAUCCAAAGCCUUAUUGAAUUGCAUGGUUUAAGAAAGGAAAUGAUAUAAAAGUUUCCAAAAGGUGUCUUGUUUCAUUUGCUAUGGAUAAAAAUUAUGAAGACCGAGUUUGUGUGAUGUAGUUCCUAUGGAUUUUAUAUACAUUCCUAGGAAAUAUUCUGGCAAUAGGAUAGAAAUGAAAUGUGUUCAUGAUGGUCAAAAGAAUACUUAUCCCUUUAUUAUGGGAAAAAUAGAAGCUAUUCUUCCACCAAGUAAAGAGGAAAAAGCACCAAAGUCUCUACAAGAGGAGGGUGACAAUUUUCUCGCUGUCAAAGUUUGUGAAAGUGAAGAAAGUGGUGUUAUGUACAUGUUAAUCACAAAAGUAAACUUGCAGCCAGUGGACUUGCCUAGUGACUUGGAACCAUUCUUGGGUUUCCCUCUCUUAGAGACAUUCAACAUCACUUUGACUUGAUACCUGGUUCUAUGCUUUCUAAUAAAGCUUAAUUUCGUGUACAAGUCUAACAGAACAUUAAGAGAUGAAAGGGCAAUCAUGGAGUGGUUCAAAAGGGGUAUGUUAGAGAAAGCAUGAGCACUUGUGCAGUGUUGGUCUUGUUAACUACUAAGAAAGACGAAACAUGGCCUUAUGUGUGUGAAUAGUCGUCACAUUAAUCAAAUUAAUAUCCAAUACUGGUUUCCUAUUCUAAGAGUUAGGGUGCUUGAUAUGCUUGCAAGUGCUAAAUUUUUUUUCCAAAAAUGAUAGUAGAAAUGGCUACUAUUGUAUUUGAAUCAAACUGGGUGACAAAAUGGGGUAUUUUUUCAGAUUUUUCUAUAUUAAGAAAAUUCAUUAUACCAUGGAAGCGUUAAUGGGGUAUUUUUUGGGUUUUCUACAAUUAAAGAAAAUCCAUUAUAUCUAUGCAAGCAUCAUUGAUGUGUCCUCUUGACAAUUGGGAAUUGCUCGUAAUGCUCUUUUGGGAGGGGGUGGUAGUCUCACUUAGGGUAAGCCAAGGGUGCGGGCUAUGGCAUGGUAUGGAAUACCUAAGGCAUACCAAGACUCUUCAUGGGUGGGUAUAAGGCGCCCUUAGAGCUUGUACACAUCCAAAUGUGCAAUGGCUUAAGCAAGGCAUAGGAGCACGAACAGAGCCAUGCAUGAUCAAAGCAUGACACAUCCGAUGUGGGCUUUGUGGCUGAGGCAAGAUACAACUUGGUGCAUACAUGAGGGCAAUGCUAUAUGCAUGAACCUUGGGCACAACCAAGGUCAUAAGACCUCAUAGCACAUGAUGAAAGGGCCUAAUACCAAACAAGGGUUGGUUUGGCUAGCCACAAAUGGGCACCAGGUGUAGUGGUUAAUCUGUUAAUCAAAUAUCUAGCGUUUCACCUACUCUAGGUUUCAGGGCCACAAUAAGCACCGGGUGUAGUGGUGGGCAAAGUGAUUGUCUUCCUUCUAUAAUUGCAUGCCAGAUUAGGACCAGGUAUGUCUACUGGGACCAGUUCCACCCAACUGAAGCUAUGAAUGUGAUUUAUGCUCGAAGAGCAUACAUCAUACAGACUCCAUCAGAUGUCCACCCAGUUGAUAUCCACGCUCAUCUCUAUUAAUGGAGGCAGUCGCUAUUGAGCGCUCUCUAUUAAUGAAGGCAGCAGCUAUUGAGUGCAAUGUGUAUACAUAUAUACAAUAGUAGUUGCUGAUAGGAUGCUCUACCAUAAUAUAAAGAUCUCGGUUUGCAGAGUGGCUUUGUUUCUAUGAACAUAUAGUUCAUGUCUACGUAUACCUGUAAUUAAGUUCAAUAUGGUCUAUAAUAAAAUAUCAUGUAAAAAUAUUUUUCUUGUAUAUAACCAUGAUGUAACUGGAAGUACUAACUGUUUUUUUAUUCAUGUGCAAAAUUGUUAAUUUUUUCUCUUGUUCACCAAAAUAUUGAACAGACUGUCAAAGUUCGAAGUAUUCACAAAUGCAUCCAUGUGUAGAAAGAAUUAGAGCAUAUAUACAUGCAAUAACAAUAAUCUUCUCUUGAUGGUCUUGUUACAUUGUUGAAUUAUAUGAUAUAUCUAAAAUAAUUUGAUAUGAUUCAGUACUGUUUUUAAAACAAAGGUAAUUUUGUUGAGAGAUCAGCCAUGUUAACAUCAAGAAAAGCCCCCUUCUGACCAUGCAAUUUUUGUAUGUCUGGAUCCUCCAUUCUAAAUUUUUUGCUACUAGUAAGCAUACCGUUCCAUUUGGAUAACAAGGUACAGAAUGAAACUAGUAGGCUUCAAUCCAAUAUGUAAAGAGAUUGUUCCACUCAACCCUAGAAAGCUGUCUGUAUAUAAUUUCAAAGCUAUCCAUAAUGAAUGUGGAUACUGCCUCUGAUCCAUGCAUGCCUUAGGUUGGGCUAUUUAGAAACAAUAGCAGUUGUUAUUUUCAUUUCUAUAAGCGCUAUAUAGAUCUAAUAGAAGGUUUUGAUCAACAUACACACACAUAAAGAAACUAAAAAUGACGAAAAACAGGCAUGCUAGCAAAUAUAACAAGGAGAAAGAAGCACACAAAGGAUCAGUAUAGCUACAUCGAUCAGUAGAAUCUUUCAUGGAGUCAUAGUGUGAAACAUGUAGAGAAGUAGCACUCUAACAACAUACUUGGGUGACCUAUGCCCAUCAACAAAGAUACUAACUUGUCAGAGUAUUAAGUUCCUCCACUUGAGAAAAGUUGAUCCCUGCUUUUUAGUGUUUCUCAAGAUAAUCUGUAGCUUGCAUCCGCUAGGCACUAGAUCAUCCCCACAGAAACUAAAAACAGCAGAAAUUACUGGUCCUUGAAGCAUAUUAACUGCAAAGAAAUUAAUCACAAAGUAUUAAACAAAUGUUGCAUUAAUUUAUCUAGUUUUUAACAGUCAUUUGGAACCACAACUAUGAUGAUCUAUAAUAAUGGUGGUGGUUCAUACUUUUGACUUUAAACUCCGCAAGAAAUGCCAUGGGAUUGAUCAUCUUGUGAUAAAGCCUUAUUCCUUCCUAUAUGGGAAAACAUAAAUUGCCUCCGCUCCACUUGGAUUUUGGAAGGUUUGAGGGAAUUUGCAGGGGAGAAGAAAAUGGGUUGUGUGUGUGGUGC